rfam:Bombyx mori DNA, contig: Bm_scaf42_contig23923, strain: p50T/Dazao, build 2, whole genome shotgun sequence.
UUAACUCAAAUUUGUAUGGAGUUGGAACUUUUGUCUACAUUUGCCGCUAAGGGCGCUGUUCCAACUGCAUACAAAUUUGAGUUA